rnacentral:rRNA from 1 species
UACGGGGGGAGCAAGCGUUGCUCGGAUUUACUGGGCGUAAAGGGCGCGUAGGCGGCCACCGCAAGUCAAUUGUGAAAUCUCCGGGCUUAACUCGGAAAGGUCAACUGAUACUGCGGGGCUAGAGUGCGGAAGGGGCAACUGGAAUUCUCGGUGUAGCGGUGAAAUGCGUAGAUAUCGAGAGGAACACCUGCGGCGAAGGCGGGUUGCUGGGCCGACACUGACGCUGAGGCGCGAAAGCCAGGGGAGCGAACGGG